UACGUAGGGGGCUAGCGUUGUCCGGAAUCAUUGGGCGUAAAGAGCGUGUAGGCGGCCCGGUAAGUCCGCUGUAAAAGUCAAAGGCUCAACCUUUGAAUGUCAGUGGAUACUGCCGGGCUAGAGUCCGGAAGAGGCGAGUGGAACUCCUGGUGUAGCGGUGGAAUGCGCAGAUAUCAGGAAGAACACCAACGGCGAAGGCAGCUCGCUGGGACGGUACUGACGCUGAGGCACGAAAGCGUGGGUAGCAAACAGG
rnacentral:rRNA from 1 species